rnacentral:rRNA from 1 species
GACGAACGCUGGCGGCGUGCUUAACACAUGCAAGUCGAACGGAAAGGCCCUGCUUUUGUGGGGUGCUCGAGUGGCGAACGGGUGAGUAACACGUGAGUAACCUGCCCUUGACUUUGGGAUAACUUCAGGAAACUGGGGCUAAUACCGGAUAGGAGCUCCUGCUGCAUGGUGGGGGUUGGAAAGUUUCGGCGGUUGGGGAUGGACUCGCGGCUUAUCAGCUUGUUGGUGGGGUAGUGGCUUACCAAGGCUUUGACGGGUAGCCGGCCUGAGAGGGUGACCGGCCACAUUGGGACUGAGAUACGGCCCAGACUCCGACGGGAGGCAGCAGUGGGGAAUAGUGCACUAUGGGCGGAAGCCUGAUGCAGCAACGCCGCGUGCGGGAUGACGGCCUUCGGGUUGUAAACCGCUUUCGCCUGUGACGAAGCGUGAGUGACGGUAAUGGGUAAAGAAGCACCGGCUAACUACGUG